rnacentral:lncRNA from 1 species
CUCAUUAGCUUCCGUUUAUAGGCAUGUGUCAACCAUGGAUUUCAAUUUAACCAGAUCGGCCGAAAGUAUCUCCACUUUUUCUAGAUGAAUCUUUGUAUUUUUUUUUUAUGCAUCCUUAGCAUGGCUGAGUGCCUGGAAACAUCAGCAACCAUAGCCAACUCUUUCUUCACCUUAUCAAGAUCCCGACUGGCAGAUAGGAUAGCUGCCACAUCCAAUGCAUUCUAGUUUUUCACUGCUUCAAUAUCUCUCAGCCAUUCCUCAUCCUUCUUUUGGGUUGCUUCAAUACCAGCCUAUUCCCUCUCAACUACUCUAAAUUUUUCAAUCUCAAUGUUCUCUUCAGCUUGCUUUUGAGCAGCCAAAGCCACUCUUAACUUCCGAUCUAUUUUCUCAUCAAAUCUCUGUGCCUCAAUCAAUUCAUCAAGAGCUUUUGCUUUUUCUUUCUCAACCAAAACCAAUUCCCCUUGGCCUUCUUAAAAUUUUUCCCAGUGAGAUUUAAUUCCUCCUAAAGUUCUGAUGGCUUUGAAGUCCGAGUCAGAUUUUCUGAGGGAAAGAGAGAAUCAAAGUCAAACAAUGUAAUAAUUCAACAGCAGCAAAAUUUCAACCACUACAUCGCCUAAUGCAGCCAUUCAACAUGAAAAGGUACUUCUCCACGAUUGGAAAUAAUUUUACUAAAACUUACAUUGAAAGUGGUACUGAGCUUUGGAGACUGCCAGUCUACAACAGGCUGUGGGUUGACCAGUUUUGAAGAUCCAUGAACUGAAAGUUAAGAAUUUUACAGGUGAGAGGCCAAAUUAGCAUUAGAUUUAGCCACUUCCCUGCUCAACUUGCUGACCCCAGUAGCUGCUGGUGAUGCUUUACUAUUAUGAGUUUCAGAAGCAAGUGAUCUGUGUAUCCC